rnacentral:lncRNA from 1 species
CAAAAACUGGUUCAAAAUCCAUUUGGAUUGUUUUUCUGGUACACACUGGCACAGAAUCAUAAUGAAAUGUCAAGGAAGCAUUAAAUUUCAAAUCCUUUGACUUAUGUUUAAUUAAACUUAAUAUAUAAACUUCAUUAUCCCUCAGUAUCUUAGGUCCCUGGAUCAUCUAAGGUCCAAAUGCAAAAUAAUCUAUACAAGUUUUUACUGGGGAAAAAAAUCCAAGGAAAGACUACUAGCUUGAAUAAAAAUACACAGGAUCAACUUCAAAAAUAAGUAGACAGAGGCAACAUGGAAAGUAUGUCAAUACUAAUUGCAAGUAGUGUAUAACCUAGUAUCUUAAAAAUAGUUGCACAGUGCUUGCUUCAGCAGCAUAUGUACUAAAACCAGAACAAUACAGGGAAGAUUAGCAUGCCCCCUGUGCAAGGAUAACUUGCACAUUUAAGACUUGUUCCACAUUUCUGCACAGGGCAUAUUUAUGGCAGUGAAACUAUUCUAUACAAUACAGUAAUGAGGAAUAUUAUGCAUUUGUCGAAACCCAUAGAAGUGUACAAUAUAGGAAACCCCAACGUAAACUACAGACUUUAGUUAAUAAGUGUAUCCAUACUGGCUUUUCAAUUGUUAACAAAUGCACCAUAGUAAUGCAAGAUGUUCACAGAACCUGUUAUGAAGGGGAAGUGGGUAUAUGACAACUCUGUACUUUAUGCACAAUUUUUCUGUGAGCUUAAAUUGCUCUAAAAACAAAUGAAGUCUAUUAAAAAAAAAAAAAAAGGCCCAAUUUCAGAUAAUGUUAAUACCCCAAACAAAACCAACAAAAAACCAAAAACCCAGUGGCAUAAAUUUAGGGCUCUUUCUAAGAGACCCGGGAGACAAAGUGGUAAAAUAC